rnacentral:snRNA from 1 species
GGUGCUCACUUUGGCAACAUACUGGAAUAUACCAGAAACAGUAAGCAUGGCCCCUGUGCAAAGAUGACACAAAUUCAUGAAGUGUUCUACAAUUUU